rnacentral:rRNA from 1 species
AAGAAGCGAACCUGCGAAGGCAAGCGGAUCUCUUAAAGCCGUUCUCAGUUCGGACUGUAGGCUGCAACUCGCCUACACGAAGCUGGAAUCGCUAGUAAUCGCGGAUCAGCACGCCGCGGUGAAUACGUUCCCGGGCCUUGUACACACCGCCCGUCACACCAUGAGAGUCUGUAACACCCAAAGCCGGUGGGAUAACCUUUAUAGGAGUCAGCCGUCUAAGGUAGGACAGAUGAUUAGGGUGAAGUCGUAACAAGGUAUC